rnacentral:tRNA from 1 species
GCCUAGUUAGCUUGGUUGGUAGCGCGUCUGCCUUGUAAGCGCUAGGCCGCGGGUUCGAUUCUCGCCCGGGGCA